rnacentral:misc_RNA from 1 species
CAACCCUCAAGCCCUGCUUGGUGUUGGGGCCCUAUAGUUGAUAUAGGCCCUGAAAAUCAGUGGCGGGCUCGCUAUAACUCCGAGCGUAGUACAUACCUCGCUUAGGGCGUUUUAGUGGGAUCCAGUCUCUCUUUUAAACUUCAA